GAUGAACGCUAGCUACAGGCUUAACACAUGCAAGUCGAGGGGCAGCAUUAGGUAGCAAUACUGAGAUGGCGACCGGCGCACGGGUGCGUAACGCGUAUCCAACUUUCCCGUUACUCUGGGAUAGCCUUCCGAAAGGGAGAUUAAUACCGGAUGGUGUUUGAAUUCCGCAUGUUAUUCAAACUAAAGAUUUAUCGGUAACGGAUAGGGAUGCGUGACAUUAGGUAGAUGGCGGGGUAACGGCCCACCAUGCCCACGAUGUCUAGGGGUUCUGAGAGGAAGGUCCCCCACACUGGAACGGAGACACGGUCCAGACUCCUACGGGAGGCAGCAGUGAGGAAUAUUGGUCAAUGGUCGGAAGAUUGAACCAGCCAAGUAGCGUGAAGGAUGAAGGUUCUAUGGAUUGUAAACUUCUUUUAUAUAGGAAUAAAACCUCCCACGUGUGGGAGCUUGUAUGUACUAUAUGAAUAAGCAUCGGCUAACUCCGUGCCAGCCGCCGCCGUAAAAC
rnacentral:rRNA from 1 species